CUCAUGGCUGUGUGGGGCCUGGGGAGCCGUCUUGGCCUGCGCGGGUGCUUCGGCGCCGCCAGGCUCCUGUAUCCCCGUUUCCAGAGCCGCGGCCCUCAGGGCGUGGAAGACGGGGACAGGCCACAGCCUUCCUCGAAGACACCCAGGAUCCCCAAGAUUUACACCAAAACGGGAGACAAAGGGUUUUCUAGUACCUUCACAGGAGAAAGGAGACCCAAAGAUGACCAAGUGUUUGAAGCUGUGGGAACUACAGAUGAAUUAAGUUCAGCUAUUGGGUUUGCUCUGGAAUUAGUCACAGAAAAGGGCCACACAUUUGCUGAAGAGCUUCAGAAAGUGAGUAACACCAUCUCACCCAAGCUGGGAAUCUUCAUCCCUGGUGGCCAUCAUGGGACUCAGCAUCCAGCCACCAGUUCCUCUUUGUGUCACCUGGGGCUAGUCACUCUCCCUCUGUGAGCUCCAUUUCUUCAUCUGUAAAAUGCGGACAGGCCAGGUAUGGUGGCUCACACCUGCAAUCUCAGCUACUUGGGAGACUGAGGCAGGAAUAUCACUUGAGGCCAGGAGCCUGGGUAACAUAAUAAGACCCUGACUCUACAAAAUAUUUGAAAAUUAGCCAGGCAUAGUGGUGAAUGCCU
rnacentral:sRNA from 1 species